rnacentral:rRNA from 1 species
UACAGAGGUCUCAAGCGUUGUUCGGAUUCAUUGGGCGUAAAGGGUGUGUAGGUGGCGCGCUAAGUCGGGUGUGAAAUUUCGGAGCUUAACUCCGAAACUGCAUUCGAUACUGGCGUGCUUGGGGACUGGAGAGGAGACUGGAAUUCAUGGUGUAGCAGUGAAAUGCGUAGAGAUCAUGAGGAAGACCAGUGGCGAAGGCGGGUCUCUGGGCCACUACUGACGCUGAGAAGCGAAAGCAUGGGGAGCGAACAGG